rnacentral:lncRNA from 1 species
CACAACUUCAACGAGGCUGUUUUCUCCUUGCAAAACACAGUCCCUUAGACCCAUUUUUGAAGGGCUAUCGAGAGGACCAAACGAGAUAAAAUCAUUGAAGGUUUGAUUAUUCUUCCAUCACCGGAGUGCCACGAUUACCAUUCAACGGGGUCACGUGAGUUCGGCAAGCAGCAAAGCAGACGAGUAGUGCAUCCUAACAUCAGGAUCUUCCGAUGCUUGGACUCAGUCAUGUAAAAAGCACCAUCCCCUUCAAUGUGUACAAUGCGUCCAAUGUAAGGGAAGUGAAAACUUUCUUAACAUACUCACUCCAGGCAAGGGGGAUUGGUCACGGGAAAACUUGUGGCUACCUACAGCCUCUGAGAGGUCAGCAGGAGGACUGAUGAUGUAUGCAUAAGGGGAGCCGGGUCAACACAGGAGCUGAUAUAUAAAUAAAUGUACGAAAACUCCAAAGUCAAGUUCUGUAUAAGGAAGUCUGGAACAGUCCUCCUCUUGCCUUACUGAGGAAUGGCCUUGGCUACAGUGCAAAGAUGGAGAGGAGAGGAGGGCGCGCAGAAAAGCAAAAAUUGGAGAAAAAUGAAUUCCAAAGCAAUCCACCAGGACCAGCAGAAUGGCCCACUGCACCUCCUGCCACAGUCUACACUGCAGCUAUCUGCCUCUAACAGAAACCACCCCCCAGUACCCUCUCCAUUACAGGCACAUGUCGUUAGAGCUCCACCACACCACUCGCUGAACACUCUUCCAUGACCUCCACCGAAUGGAUGGUGCCCACCCACAUCGGGGAGCAGAGGGUUAUCUGCUCUUCUCAGUCCACCAGUUCAAAUGCUAAUCUCUUCUGGAAACACCCUCACAGACAUACCUAGAAACAAUGUUCGACCAGCUAUCUGGGCCUCCCUUGGCCCAGUCAAGUUGACAUCCGAAAUUAACCAUCACAAUGG